ACCGAAAUAGCUCAGUUGGGGGAGAGUUAGACUAUAGAUCGAAUGGUCCACGGUUCGAUCCCGGGAUGCGGCA
rnacentral:tRNA from 1 species